GGGUCAGUAGGUUGGUCGUGCCACCGGUACGUACUGGUCUCACUGAUUCCUCCUUCCUGAAGAACCGUAAUGCCAUUAAUUUGGUGUUGCGGGGAAACAGGACUUUUACUUUGAAAAAAUUAGAGUGUUUAAAGCAAGCUAACGCUUGAAUACAUUAGCACGGAAUAAUGAAAUAGGGCGAUCGAUCCUAUUUUGUUGGUUUCUAGGAUUGACGUA
rnacentral:rRNA from 1 species